rnacentral:snoRNA from 1 species
UGGAAUGAUGAUUUCUUAGACUAGAGUCUCUGACAAAAGCAUGAAGAUGUUUCACAGUGCACUGACCA